rnacentral:rRNA from 1 species
AGAGUUUGAUCAUGGCUCAGAACGAACGCUGGCGGCGUGGAUAAGACAUGCAAGUCGAGCGCUGAUUACGAGGUAGCAAUAUUUCGUAGUCGGAGCGGCGCAAGGGUGCGUAACACGUGGGUAAUCUGCCAUGAAGUCGGGGACAACUUGCUGAAAGGCGAGCUAAUACCGGAUGUGAAAAUUGAAAGGCAUCUUUUGAUUUUCAAAGUUGGGGACCGUAAGGCCUGACGCUUCAUGAUGAGCCCGCGGCCUAUCAGCUAGUUGGUGAGGUAACGGCUCACCAAGGCUAAGACGGGUAGCUGGUCUGAGAGGACGACCAGCCACACUGGAACUGAGACACGGUCCAGACACCUACGGGUGGCAGCAGUCGAGAAUUUUUCACAAUGGGCGAAAGCCUGAUGGAGCGACGCCGCGUGGGGGAUGAAUGGCUUCGGCCCGUAAACCCCUGUCAUUUGCGAUCAAACCUUAUUAUUUAAAAGAUGAUGAGCUGAUAGUAGCGAAAGAGGAAGGGACGGCUAACUCUGUGCCAGCAGCGGCGGUAAUAC